AAGAGGGGGGAGAGAGAAAUCCUCAGACCUUGGAACUGUUCCAUUAUGUCUCGCGCGCACUUCAAACGGCUCAAUUUCUGUAUUUAAUAUUGACUUCCUCUCAUUUCUUCAGCCUCCUCGAAUCUUUCGGAUCUUCUGUUUGAUUUGUUCUCCUCCCGCAAAACCUCUGCGGGGAUAACGAUCAAAGCCGAUGAAGCCUGCACACUUGUGUGUUUUGCGUGUUAAGGUGGAUUUGUUGGCGCUAUAGGACAGAAACAAAAUGCCAAACAAGCGCAACUGCGCUUGACUUGCGCCACGAAAGCAUGGCGCAUCCCCGCGGUCCGACGGAAGAGUGAGAGCGUGUCUUCAAACAAUGCGCUUGUGAGCAGAAUGGUAAAAGGGAAGAGAGGGAGAGAUGGGAGGUGAGGGGUCUGCGAGGAGGAAAAUGGGAUUUGGGAGUGAUGCAGUCAAAACGAGGAGGAAACAGAGGAGGUGCGGCGGCGGCGGCUGUCAAGCGCAGAGGCUUUUUUUUUUUGAAAGAAGAAAAAAUGGUUUGAGCGAGAAACGCUUGAAGGUAUGGCUUCUUGGUCGGCUUUAUCUGCUAAUUACGUAAGUAUGACUUUUGACGCGGAGUGAUGGAAAGGCAAAGUCCUCUGCUGCUGAGUGCGUUGGCGGCGUUGCGCAGCGCAGCGCCUCAUCCUCCAUCCUCUGCUCACAUGACUUCAGGAGCAAAUGGAGAUCGGACGUGAUACUUGACAGCCUUCAGCGGAAGCCUCACCUCUUGUUUCCUUUUGCAACAGGUGGAGGAGCCCAGUCACACACAGAGGACGCGCAGGAGUAAGAAGGAGGUAAAGAGUUUUAAGCGCAACGAUCCAUCUCUACUUUCACGAUUAAAUGAUCGACUCUCUUAGUUCGGAUCAUCUCCAAAAUCCAAAAACAUGAUAAACCAAACUCCACUUCAAUGUAAUUAGUGACUUCUGCAGCUUUUCAGAAAAGAAAGUUUUAGAUUUCUGAGCACAGCCAUUGCUCAUUAGUAGAUAGAUAAAAUCUAAAAUCUCUAGUAGUAGAUAAAAUACAUAUAAAAUACUAUAAAAAAAUACACGAAAUUAAAGAAAGCAUGCUUAUGAACAAAAUAGUAAAAAGUGGAAACGUCUUUUUUUUUUGUUUCUGCUUAAAGCAAUUUCAUCUUUUGUUUUACUUUCUUAAAGUUAAAAAGUGAAUUAACUAAAGAUUUAUAUUUAAGAUUUGUUUACAUGUUCUUUUAUUGUGAUGAUUACAAAAAAAAAAGUUCACUUUAGACCGUUUAUUUGAUCAUUUCUGCCUUGUGUAGAUGGUUAACCUCAAGGAAACUUGGUGCUAUUCUGGAACAUCUGAAAAAUUAUUUGUGGAUUUUUUUUUUUUUCCUGAAACCCUAAAAAACAUUAUUUCCUUCUGAAGAGACAAAAUAAAGACUUCGUAAAACAUUACAUUUAAACAAAAAAAACACACGCCAGGCGGUGCAACGUUUAUUUUUUUUCCCCCCUUCAUAUGUUCCUUUCUGUAUGAAAAGAUGCAAUUUAAACUGAAAUAAAACAAUAAAAAAUAUUUCUAAAUGGUUUAUUUUGCAUCAUUGAUCUGAAUGUGUGAUCUUCCUGUGUGUGUGUUUGGUUUGAGCAGGCGUGUGCUGAUAUUUGACAGUGUUGGACAUGUUCCCCGCCGGCUGUGUGAGUGGCCUGAGGGAGGCAGGCCUACCAGAGACUGAGCCAGACAGUUGGCAAAGCCUCCAUUUCCUUCUCAGCUGCUGUAGCUGGUUUGACCAUGUGGCAGAGUCGCCACUUCCUGUGUCCAAACCUCGGAAAAUGUUCAACCUCACAUGCUCCAGCCUCGUUUGUUUGAUCAACCUAAAGCCCCAUAGAAUGUCCGUUUAAGCAAGUUCAUUUUUGUCUCCCACUUUUUCUUUUUUUUUUGUUCAUUUUGUCAUUUGCAGUCCCUUUGAAUAGUCUGCAGAAUUUAGUGUUUGAUGUGUCGCCCUCAAGUGGACAGAAGAAAAAUCACAUCCCAUUCUCAGGUCACAGAAUCUGUCUUCCUUCAGAAACGAAGAUGGAAAAAGGCUUGAGGAGCUGCUGGUGUGAGAGGAAUGCUCUUAUACCCAACAUUCUGAAAUCGGUCCCUUGAGAAUUUUUGUUAUGACAACCUUGAAAAUAUUGAUUUGGGCACAUCAUUCCCCCAAAAAUGUACAUAUAAAAAAUAAAAAAAAGCUUUGAAAAAAA